UCAUGAGGUUCCGGUUCUGUGGUGAUCUGGACUGUCCCGACUGGGUCCUGGCAGAGAUUAGCACACUGGCCAAAAUUUCCUCUGUGAAGCCGCGGCUGCUGUGUAGCCAGGUGCUAAAGGAGCUUCUGGGGCAGGGGAUUGAUUAUGAGAAGAUCCUGAAGCUGACUGCUGAUGCCAAGUUUGAGUCUGGAGACGUGAAGGCCACCAUCGCAGUGCUGAGUUUCAUCCUCUCUAGUGCAGCCAAGCAUAGUGUGGACAGCGAUUCCUUGUCCAGUGAACUGCAGCAGCUGGGGCUGCCCAAAGAGCACGCCACCAGCCUGUGCCGCUGUUAUGAAGAGAAGCAGAGCCCCCUACAGGAGCACCUUCGGGCCUGCAGCCUACGUGUGAACAGGCUAGCCAGCGUGGGCUGGCGGGUAGACUACUCCCUGAGUUCCAGCCUGCUUCAUUCUGUGGAGGAGCCCAUGGUACACCUGCAGCUACAGGUUGCGCCCGCUCCAGGUACCCCGACCCAACCUAUUUCCAUGUCGCUCUCAGCAGACAAGUUCCAGCUGCUCCUGGCAGAACUAAAGCAAGCACAGACCCUGAUGACUGCUUUGGGCUGA